rnacentral:rRNA from 1 species
CUUGGUCAUUUAGAGGAAGUAAAAGUCGUAACAAGGUUUCCGUAGGUGAACCUGCGGAAGGAUCAUUAUUGAAAUAAACCUGAUGAGUUGCUGCUGGUUCUCCAGGGAGCAUGUGCACACUUGUCAUCUUUAUAUCUCCACCUGUGAACCUUUUGUAGACCUGGAUAUCUCUCUCUGAAUGCCUGGAAAAUUCAGGAUUGAGGAUUGAUUAUUUUUUUUGUCUUUCCUUGUGUUUUCAGGUCUAUGUUUUUCAUAUACCCCCAUGUAUGUUUAUAGAAUGUAAUGAACGGGCCUUUUGUGCCUAUAAACUUAUACAACUUUCAGCAACGGAUCUCUUGGCUCUCGCAUCGAUGAAGAACGCAGCGAAAUGCGAUAAGUAAUGUGAAUUGCAGAAUUCAGUGAAUCAUCGAAUCUUUGAACGCACCUUGCGCUCCUUGGUAUUCCGAGGAGCAUGCCUGUUUGAGUGUCAUUAAUAUAUCAACCCUCUUCAGGCUUUUGCAUGUUGAGUGUUGGAUGUGGGGGGAUACUUUUUUUUGCUGGACUCUCUUUUGAGGUCAGCUCCCCUAAAAUACAUUAGCAAAACAAUUUGUUUACUGCUCAUUGGUGUGAUAACUAUCUACGCUGUUGAAAGUAAAGCACAGUUUAGCUUCUAACAGUCCAUUGACUUGGACAACCUUUUAUCAAUGUGACCUCAAAUCAGGUAGGAUUACCCGCUGAACUUAAGCAUAUCAAUAAGCGGAGGAAAAGAAACUAACAAGGAUUCCCCUAGUAACUGCGAGUGAAGCGGGAAAAGCUCAAAUUUAAAAUCUGGCAGUCUUUGGCUGUCCGAGUUGUAAUCUAGAGAAGUGCUAUCCGCGCUGGACCGUGUACAAGUCUCCUGGAAUGGAGCGUCAUAGAGGGUGAGAAUCCCGUCUUUGACACGGACUGCCAGGGCUUUGUGAUGCGCUCUCAAAGAGUCGAGUUGUUUGGGAAUGCAGCUCAAAAUGGGUGGUAAAUUCCAUCUAAAGCUAAAUAUUGGCGAGAGACCGAUAGCGAACAAGUACCGUGAGGGAAAGAUGAAAAGAACUUUGGAAAGAGAGUUAAACAGUACGUGAAAUUGCUGAAAGGGAAACGCUUGAAGUCAGUCGCGUCGUCCAGGGAUCAACCUCGCUGUUGCUUGGUGCACUUUCUGGUUGACGGGUCAGCAUCAAUUUUGACCAUUGGAAAAAGAUUAGGGGAAUGUGGCAUCUUAGGAUGUGUUAUAGCCCUUGGUUGCAUGCAAUGGUUGGGAUUGAGGAACUCAGCACGCCGCAAGGCCGGGUUUUCAACCACGUACGUGCUUAGGAUGCUGGCAUAAUGGCUUUAAUCGACCCGUCUUGAAACACGGACC